rnacentral:rRNA from 1 species
CGGACGGGUGAGUAACGCGUGGGUAACCUGCCCCAUACAGGGGGAUAACAGUUAGAAAUGACUGCUAAUACCGCAUAAGCGCACAAAACCGCAUGGUUUGGUGUGAAAAACUGAGGUGGUAUGAGAUGGACCCGCGUCUGAUUAGCUAGUUGGAGAGGUAACGGCUCACCAAGGCAACGAUCAGUAGCCGACCUGAGAGGGUGACCGGCCACAUUGGGACUGAGACACGGCCCAAACUCCUACGGAAGGCAGCAG